GAUGAACGCUGGCGGCGUGCUUAACACAUGCAAGUCGAACGGAAAGGCUCCUGCUUGCAGGGGUACUCGAGUGGCGAACGGGUGAGUAACACAUGGGUGAUCUGCCCUGCACUUCGGGAUAAGCCUGGGAAACUGGGUCUAAUACCGGAUAGGACGAUGGUUUGGAUGCCAUUGUGGAAAGUUUUUCGGUGUGGGAUGAGCUCGCGGCCUAUCAGCUUGUUGGUGGGGUAAUGGCCUACCAAGGCGUCGACGGGUAGCCGGCCUGAGAGGGUGUACGGCCACAUUGGGACUGAGAUACGGCCCAGACUCCUACGGGAGGCAGCAGUGGGGAAUAUUGCACAAUGGGCGCAAGCCUGAUGCAGCGACGCCGCGUGGGGGAUGACGGCCUUCGGGUUGUAAACUCCUUUCGCUAGGGACGAAGCGCAAGUGACGGUACCUGGAGAAGAAGCACCGGCUAACUACGU
rnacentral:rRNA from 1 species